GAAAGUGGGUGCGCGUUUGGCGCAUCAACUCGGGUGGAACCGCGGGAGCUACGCUCUCGUCCCGAG
rnacentral:misc_RNA from 1 species